GAGGGUGUAGCUCAAGUGAUAGAGCACGUGCUUAGCAUGCACAAGGUCCUGGGUUCAAGCCUCAGUACCUCCG
rnacentral:tRNA from 1 species